UUUAGCUCAUUUGGUAGAGCAUUUGUCUGUUAAACAAAAAGUAGUUGGUUCAAAUCCAACA
rnacentral:tRNA from 1 species